rnacentral:ncRNA from 1 species
AGACCCUGUGCGGGAGAGUCCUCCGAAGGCUUCGUCGGAGGCGCCGAAGGAGCAAAUCCUCCCCGGAAUCUCUCAGGCACACGUACCGCACGGACGAG